AGACUGCAGGCUGCAACUCGCCUGCACGAAGUCGGAAUUGCUAGUAAUCGUAGGUCAGCAUACUACGGUGAAUACGUUCCCGGGCCUUGUACACACCGCCCGUCAAACCAUGAGAGUUGGCAACACCCGAAGUCGGUAGUCCAACCGCAAGGAGGACGCCGCCGAAGGUGGGGUUGAUGAUUAGGGUUAAGUCGUAACAAGGUAGC
rnacentral:rRNA from 1 species